rnacentral:lncRNA from 1 species
UAGAAAAAGGAAGCCUAAUUGGGACAACUUCCUAGAUCCUUGGAACAUUGUUAAGAAAAAAUUGGGAUAAGAGACUUAUAAACUCUAAAUGUGCAAAGACACUGAACUCCUAGAUAUUUGGAACAUUAAGCACCUUAAGAGAUAUUUUUAAUAGGAAGCAAAAAUCUAGAAUCAGUCAAAAAUUUAAAUUCUUAUCUGCUAUAGAAAAAAUGUAUAAUCCCAAAAUAACGAGUAAAAUCAUUAGUCAAGAACAAAGUGCAUAAUCAAUGAAAGAAUUACCCAUAAAUCUCCAUUUAACUUUGCACUACUCAUGCACACAAAACAUGAAAAUCUUCAAGUAUAUCUCAAUAUUAAUAAAUUCCCUUUAGCCAAGCUAGAGUACAUGUAUAAAAGAACAAAAAUAAAAAGUUCAUCUAGUCUAAUCCGAGAUAUACUAGAAUUCUAAAUUACCUUUUUGAGGAGAAUAAUUUUUAG